rnacentral:rRNA from 1 species
AAUAGACUACCCCGGUAGUCCUAGCCGUAAACGAUGAACACUAGGCGUAGUCGGUAUCGACCCCGGCUGUGCCGUAGCUAACGCAUUAAGUGUUCCGCCUGGGGAGUACGGCCGCAAGGCUAAAACUACAAAGGAAUUGACGGGGGCCCGCACAAGCAGCGGAGCGUGUGGUUUUAAUUCGUCGCAACGCGAAGAACCUUACCAGGGCUUGACAUGUGGCGGAAAACGGCGGAAACGUCGUCCUCCCGCAAGGGACCGUCAUGCAGGUGUUGCAUGGCUGUCGUCAGCUCGUGUCGUGAGAUGUUGGGUUAAGUCCCGCAACGAGCGCAACCCCCGUGGCAUGUUGUAUCUCUCAUGCCAGACUGCCGAGAGAAACUCGGAGGAAGGUGGGGAUGACGCCAAGUCAGCAUGGCCCUUACGUCCUGGGCUACACACACGCUACAAUGGCCGGUACAACGGGUUGCCAAACCGGCGAGGUGGAGCUAAUCCCUUAAAGCCGGUCUCAGUUCGGAUUGCAGGCUGCAACUCGCUGCAUGAAGCC